rnacentral:tRNA from 1 species
GGAAAUGUGGCUUAGUGGUAGAGUGUUUGCCUAGCAUGCAUGAAGCCCUGAGUUCAAUUCCUCAGUACCA